rnacentral:rRNA from 1 species
UACGAAGGGGGCUAGCGUUGUUCGGAAUCACUGGGCGUAAAGAGCGCGCAGGCGGUCGAUUAAGUCGAGUGUGAAAGCCCCCGGCUCAACUGGGGAGGGUCAUUCGAUACUGAUCGACUCGAAGGCAGGAGAGGGUAGUGGAAUUCCCGGUGUAGUGGUGAAAUGCGUAGAUAUCUGGAGGAACACCGGUGGCGAAGGCGGCGUCCUGGACCAACACUGACACUGAUGAGCGAAAGCCAGGGGAGCAAACGGG